rnacentral:tRNA from 1 species
GGUUGUAUAGCUCAGUGUGGUAAAGCACGUGCUUAGCAUGCAGGAGGUCUUGGGUUCAAUCCCCAGUACUUCAA